GUUGCAUCUCAAUUGGACCUGAUAU
rnacentral:rRNA from 1 species